CUAGAGUCAACGAAAAUGAUGCAAGAGCUUAAAAUUUAAGACAAAGACCCAAAAUUAAAAAUUAAAAGAAAAACACGAAAGCUAUAAUAUUUAACAAAAAUAAAACCUUGGUUUUGGAUCGAGCAACAUGGAGGUGACGAUUUGCGGAAGGAACAAAGAAACCAUUAGGAAAAAAUUGGGUAGAGAAUGAAGGUUGUUUCUCAUCAAGGGCCUUGCGCCCAAUCAUUGUAUUUUGACCACCUCAAACUUUCAGAUUGAGAUGGUGGUGGUGUUGUUGUUGUUGUUGUUCUGGAUAUGGGGUUUUUGAAAAUUUUUGGGGUUAAUUAAGAAAUGAUGAAACAAAUGAAGAACUCAGCAGAGUUUUUCAAAGUGUUCCGGUUUCUUUUUUUCUUCU
rnacentral:lncRNA from 1 species